rnacentral:sRNA from 1 species
UGAUUAUGACCGCCUGCGAGCGCGUUGGC